AUUGAACGCUGGCGGCAUGCUUUACACAUGCAAGUCGAACGGUAACAGGGAGCUUGCUCCGCUGACGAGUGGCGAACGGGUGAGUAAUGCGUCGGAACGUGCCGAGUAGUGGGGGAUAACGCAUCGAAAGGUGUGCUAAUACCGCAUACGAACUUAGGUUGAAAGUGGGGGACCUUCGGGCCUCACGCUAUUCGAGCGGCCGACGUCUGAUUAGCUAGUUGGUGAGGUAAAGGCUCACCAAGGCGACGAUCAGUAGCGGGUCUGAGAGGAUGAUCCGCCACACUGGGACUGAGACACGGCCCAGACUCCUACGGGAGGCAGCAGUGGAGAAUUUUGGACAAUGGGGGCAACCCUGAUCCAGCCAUUCCGCGUGAGUGAAGAAGGCCUUCGGGUUGUAAAGCUCUUUCGGCAGGAACGAAACGGCGAGCUCUAACAUAGCUUGCUAAUGACGGUACCUGAAGAAGAAGCACCGGCUAACUACGUGCCAGCAGCCGCGGUAAUAC
rnacentral:rRNA from 1 species